UCUUCUCUGGUGCCAUCCCCUGGUUAGCAUAGCAGACCCUAGGAGUUGCUUUGCCUUUGGGCAAGAGGGGGAGUCCUCUGGGUCCCCUCCCAACCUCCACCACCAUUCACCCACCCACUGCUGUUUUCAGUCCUUUCCAUUGCUGGAAAAUCCCGUUUGCCCCAAAACAGCCCAACUGGGCAGCAUUUCCUUCCUCCACCUUCUCUCUUACCUCUGUUUGUCUGUCUGUCUGUGUGUGUGUGUGUGUGUGCGCAUGCACACGCUCCCCAGCUGCUUUUGAACAACCUACAUAAGACCCACAUGAUCAAAAACAGUUGGAGAAAACCUUGAAGGAAAAAUAUGUUUAUUUGGUGCCUAGAAACAUUUCUGUCCUUUAUAACAGAUCAAAAGGUUGCCCAAGCCCUGCAGUUGAUCCCCACUAGAGAUGGGCUUCAGCCCCAGGUCUUCGUGGGGCUUCAGGAGUCAAUGAGAGCCUUGUGCUCGCCCUGGCCACAGAUGCUAAGAUGCAAAAGUGGCUGCCCAGGCUCUUGUCCCUUUUCUGCACCUCUGAAAACAGCCGUGAGCCACACUGGAGGGCCAUUUGCAGGAGAAGUGAUCUGUUUUAGGGAACGCUGAGUCAAACUGAAGACCAAAGCCCACAAGUGUGGUUUCGUAACUGGCACAGGAAACUAAUUUUAUCUCUUCCUCAGCUGCUCGAGGCCUGUAGCUCUUGAUUUCCUGUUGCAGGCGGAGGGAGAGCCUGUACUGUUUUCAAGACAUCCUCCUCCUUGCCUCUUCUUCUCUGGGGGCUCUCCAGGGCUGCCACCCAGCUUCCUGAGCUCCUUUCCACCCUUCGAAAGGGCCAAAAGUGGAGGGCAGGGCUCCCCAGCAGAACAGCAUCCGUUUGCCUCCUUGAGCUCUCCUUCCCUCCCCUUGGAUGGGAAGCUCCUUCAGCUGAGUGGGCACCCUGUCUGUUUAAGGGCUGUGGGAGCUCUUAGUAAAUGCUACUGAACCUGGGAUCAACUGGGCAAGCAGCUUUCUCCCACCGCAGGCUGUGCUUUUCCCACCUGCCCACAGUUUAGGAGGUGUUUGUCUUCAUUUUGCAAGGCUUGGAACAGAGAGACCCGAACCCCCAGACUUCCCCCAGGCUUCGAUGGGGGGAGGGGAGGGUGUGCCCUGCUGCCCACAUUUCAGAAUAUUUUCUCCCCCAUCACACCACGCACUGUGCCAUGCACAGACUCCUUCCAGCGCUUAAGGGGCAAACUGGAAAGGCCCUCCUUGACAUCACAAGAGCUCCCCAAGGCUUUUUGGCAGGUGUGGGUGGCCUGAGCAACCAGCGGCCUGAAUCAUAGUGGUGCAGCCGGCUGUGUGGCUCACAGUCCCUUAGCAACCAAAUCGAUGGUUCUAGAAUCCUGAUGGGUUUCUGGCCAGUUGUAAAUCCAUGAGGGGAGCCUCUCUUUUUGCCGGAACUGAGGAGUGUCCUGCUGGGCUUUGCCACGUUGAGGGACCCAACGUCAGGACAUCUCCCCCCCCCCCCCAAGCUGAGCUGCUCUUGCAGUCAGUCGCCCGAUGAAGGCAGCCUGCCUGCCCACCAAGGGCCAAAGUUGGUGGCCUUUGCAGAAUGACCCGUUCCCUCUGGGCUUCUCUUGCCAGAAGCACUGGGUAGGAGCAGUUUCUAAAGCAUCCCAGGUGUUUCAUUUUGUGGGCGGAGUCUGUCCGGCCACCACAGGUGGCACUUGCUGUGCAGGCCUUCAGCAAACCGGUGCUGCACUUGAGGGGUGUCGCUUGGUUUUGGCUCUCUUCCCUAGACAGCCUUUUACGGAGGGGUGCACUUUCCACUUCCGCUUAUCCCAGGGAGCCUGGGAGUCUGAACACAAGCCGGACUUUCAGCCAGCUGGUCUGAGAGUCAGAAACGGAGUCCGAGGAGCCGAAACAAUCUUUGGAUGCCAGUUGCUCAAUGUUAGGAUUCUGCCCACCCUUCUAUUUUUUCAAUAUGCUUCCACUUCAAACACUGGAUAAAAUGAUCCGUUACUCCUGGGGAACAAAUACAUGCUGGUGUAUUGCUUGAUUCCUUAAAUGUUGCAAGGUGAGGUUAAUGUUUUGAGUGUUACAUGUCACCCAGAAGCCUCUGAUCUGACUCUGUCUGGCAUGUUCCUCCUGCCACUUGGCAAACCUAAGAAACCCCUCUCCCCCUUCAACGCCCCCCCCCCAUGGUGCAGUUGGUACCUUUGGGCUCUUCUGAGAAUGCGGCUGAGCGGCAGAGGCCCUUGGAUGCUGUAGAACAGAAGUUUCCUGUUUACCCAAUGCAGCAAUUGAACGAGCAGCCGCCUUCUCUAGGAACCACCAUCUUGAUCUCGAUUGUGCAACCUUUUAUCUAGGCCACCCAAGGCGUGUGUGCAUGUGUGUGCGCAUGUGUGUCUGUACCUGGCCUUGAUAAGGGGGAGGCGUCUCUGUGGGGCUCCCCAGCUGCCUGGCUUGGUGGAGCAUGGCAGCCUGUCUGUUGUCGUGGCAACAGGCUCGGUCUUUGUCCCCGAAACAGGCUGCUGCGUUGACGCUCCUCCAGCUCGAUCUGGAAUGCAGCUUUAAGCCCAGCUGAUCCCACGGGGCGACCAGCAGCACCAGGCUGGAUUUCCCUGAUUUGCGGGUUCGCUGUUGGGCUGAGAGGGAGCAACGAGCGAGCAGGAAAAUGACCACCAGCAGUGAAGUGUCCAGAUGUUGAAGGUGGUGCAACCGCUGGUCCCAUGUGGAGGAGGCGAGGAUGCGGCUGACCGUGAGACGAUUGCUGAUGGUGGUGGGCUUCGCCAUCGCCCUGAUGGUCUCCGUCCACCUGGGCCAGCAGAUGCUGCAGUGCCAGCAGAUGCUGGGCCAGGGCCUCAACCGGGCCCUGAUGCGUCCAGAGAGUGAGGAGCUGGUGAUGCUGGACUCCAACCGAGUCGAAUAUCGCUACAGUAAGGAGAUGCCGCUCAUCUUCAUUGGUGGGGUUCCUCGGAGCGGGACCACCCUGAUGCGAGCCAUGCUGGAUGCACACCCGGAGGUGCGCUGCGGGGAAGAGACGCGCAUCAUCCCGCGGGUGCUGGCCAUGCGCCAAGCCUGGUCCCGAUCCGGGCGAGAAAAGAUGCGCCUGGACGAAGCUGGGGUAACGGACCAGGUGCUGGAUGCAGCCAUGCAGGCCUUCAUCUUGGAGGUGAUCGCCAAACACGGGGAGCCGGCCCGCUACCUCUGCAACAAGGACCCCUUCACGCUCAAGUCCUCCAUUUACCUCUCUCACCUCUUCCCCAACUCCAAAUUCCUGCUGAUGGUGCGUGACGGGCGGGCCUCUGUCCACUCCAUGAUCACCAGGAAGGUCACCAUCGCCGGCUUCGACCUCCGGAGCUACCGGGAUUGCCUGGCCAAGUGGAACAAAGCGAUUGAGGUGAUGUACUCCCAGUGCCUGGCCAUUGGGCGGCUGCGCUGCCUCCCCGUCUACUAUGAGCAGCUGGUUCUGCACCCCCAGAAAUCCAUGCGGGCCAUCAUGGACUUCCUGGACAUCGCCUGGAGCGACGCCGUCCUACACCACGAGGAGCUGAUUGGGAAGCCAGGCGGGGUCUCCCUGUCCAAGAUCGAGCGAUCCACGGACCAGGUGAUCAAGCCUGUGAACAUGGAGGCCUUGACCAAGUGGCUGGGACACAUUCCGGAGGACGUGGUGCAGGAUAUGGCUCAGAUUGCCCCUAUGCUGGCCAGGCUGGGCUAUGACCCCUAUGCAAACCCUCCCAACUACGGCAGCCCGGACCCCCUGGUGAUCAACAACACCCACCGGGUUCUGAACGGGGACUUCAAAACACCUGCCAAUCUGAAGGGGCACCUUCAGGGGACUCUGAAUACGACUGCUUUUCAUUGACCAACUCAACGAUUUCCAGGUACAUCUUGGCAUGUCCCAGCAGAUCUUGUCUCCAACUCAGGUGCAAAUUGCUUCCCCUUUUUCUGAAGAGAAGAAAAUUUGCAGUGACAGUGGAAAUCUGUUUUCCAAGCAUAUUGCUUGCUACUGAUAUUGCCAAAUCAAUGUUAUCUGUGAAAUACUUUUCAUUUUGCCAUUAAUUUGUCAAGUUUGGACUUUCCAGUUCUGGGAAGUCACGUACCAAGUUUGGACAUUGCUCUGCCAUCAUAAAAAGGGAAAUAUAAAGAAUAUUGGAGAAGAUUUUAUACUUGUCUGCGGAACAAGUUUUUCAGGCUCUGUGUAAAACCAUCUUGUAAUUUUUGUUCUCUAAUUUGCAGACCUCAACUAGCUGUUUGUAUAUCCUCUUUAGAAUGCUUUCGGCCUUACCGGCACUUGUCUCCUUUAAUUCUCUCUUCUCAGUAAUUUACCAAAUUAAAGAGAUUUAUUUAUUAA